rnacentral:lncRNA from 1 species
AGGAGGAAAAUUCUUCCAAGGAUGAUCUCCCACUCAGAGCUGAGGAAGCUUUUCUACUCAGCAGAUGCUGUGUGUUUUGAUGUUGACAGCACGGUCAUCAGUGAAGAAGGAAUCGGAUGCUUUCAUUGGAUUUGGAGGAAAUGUGAUCAGGCAACAAGUCAAGGAUAACGCCAAAUGGUAUAUCACUGAUUUUGUAGAGCUGCUGGGAGAACCGAAAGAAUAACAUCCAUUGUCAUACGGCUCCAAACAACUUCAGAUGAAUUUUUACAAGUUACACAGAUUGAUACUGUUUGCUUACAAUUGCCUAUUACAACUUGAUAUAGAAAGUUGGUACAGAUGAUCUGCACUGUCAAGUAAACUACAGUUAGGACUCCUCAAAGAUUGGUUUGUUUGUUUGUUUUUAACUGUAGUUCCAGUAUUAUAUGAUGACUAUUGAUUUCCUAGAGAGUUUUGUAAUCUGAAUUCUUUAUGUAUAUUCCUAGCUAUAUUUCAUACAAAGUGUUUUAAGAGUGGAGAGUCAAUUAAACACCUUUACUCUUAGGAAUAUAGAUUCGGCAGCCUUCAAUGAAUAUUGGUUUUUUUCCCUUUGGUAUGUCAAUAAAAGUUUAUCCAUGUGUCAGAACAGAUUUGUGGAAUUUGCAGUUCUGCCUCUCGGAUAUUGGAAUAUCCAAUAUUUCAGGUACUGUGUUGAAGCAUAAACAUCCCCCAGGCAAGAAACAGGCUUAAGACUUUGCUUAGUGCUGGGCACAAUGUCCUCACCCCAUGAGCCCA